rnacentral:rRNA from 1 species
AAUGAACGCUGGCGGUAUGCUUAACACAUGCAAGUCGAACGAACAAAGCUGGAGCUUGCUUCAGCUGCGUAAGUGGCAAACGGGUGAGUAACACGUGGGAAUCUACCCAUCAGUACGGAAUAACAUUUGGAAACAGGUGCUAAUACCGUAUAUCCUCUAAGGAGGAAAGAUUUAUCGCUGAUGGAUGAGCCCGCGCAAGAUUAGGUAGUUGGUAGGGUAAUGGCCUACCAAGCCGACGAUCUUUAGCAGGUCUGAGAGGAUGAUCUGCCACACUGGGACUGAGACACGGCCCAG